UGAAAUUGAGCGAUUCAUAUUGUACGUCAAAUAUAUUGCGUAGUUAUCUUCUAUCUCGUAGAGAUAGAAAGUAUAAAAAUUUCCAAUCCAGGGAAACGAUUAAGAUGAUAUAUCUGACGUACGGAAUGUCUACAAAUCGUCGUAGAAAGUGGACUGCACGCGACGCGGUUAGAAAUCUCUUUGGAAUUUCUCCAUCGCUGUCUCGGGCGCAAAAACGGAUCACUCUCUAAAAACUUCUCUUCUCGAUGAGAACAGUUUCCUCGGGAUAUUAAAUUUAUCUCGUGAACGAAACGAAAUCUUACUUCUGAGAAAGAAAUAAAGAUUGUCUAUAAGUCUGUCAUAGUAUAGAUCGCUCGAUUAUAGAUUACAACAUUCUGAUAUUUUUAAGUUUUUUAUUUAAAUAUUUAACACAAUUGGAUAAAUUAUCUAUUUAUAAAAAGAAUAACAUUUAUUAUCGACGGAUGGUAAUAAGAAGAUUUCGAUAGAAUAAUAGAAUAAUAUAAAUUACUAAAUAACAAAAAAUAACUAGCAAUGGAACUAGAUAAAAUAAUUUUAAUCGUAAAUGAUAAGAAUAAUUAGGCAAAAUAUCUAGAAAUGAAUACAGACGACAAUAAGAAUUUUAAUCGCGAUAUUAAAAAUAUCAAGAAUAAAUAGGCAAAAAUAACUAUAUAUAAUAAAACUAGAACAAGUCGUUAUAAUAUCAAACGUCUCAGUACCCGUCCAUCCAAGUAAUAUCUCGAAUGUUUCAUUUCUCUCGGAACGAUAAUAAAGAGUAGUAGUAAUCUCGCGGAGGAGGCUCGUGAUACUCGACUUCAUUCAUCGAUUCCAACGUAUAUACGUACACAAUUUUCCCUUUCCUAUACUAUUCGUUGCCUCCUUGUGGCACGAAUUCGGCACACACGAAGACACACAAACCUCGCCAGACAUCCGAACAAUUUCCUUUUCUUCUUCGAGCGUGGCGCCGCCUUUGUGAUCCUGCAGAACGUUAUGACACCAUUGCCACAUUUCGAAGAUUUCUCAGUAAUUUGCAUUUCAAUCUCCAAGAUAAUGCACAUGGGACUUCGAUUCAAAACGUAUCUUUUCUUUUCUUGCUUAUUUUUCAACGUAUAUACCGAGUUAAUAAACGAUUACACAUCUAAUUUAGAUCUUUAAUAUUUUCCAGUUAAAGGCUGAAAAACUAUUAAUCAGAACGAAACUCGAAAAUAUUUCAUAUUAAACAAUUUCAUAUUAUUGUAACACGACGAUACUUGCUACAAAAGCUUACAAUUCUUUCAUUAUGAGAAAUAGUAAACGUGUAAGAAGAACAGUGAAAUCGAAGAUCUAAGUGAGACAAAGCCGCAUAUUUUUUCAUGCUUAACCAAAUUAAUACGACUUCCUCGAGUAUUCAUCAAACAUCUCGCACCAAUUGAAAUUUUCUCAGACAGUGUUCGAAUACAUUUCCACGAGAAGAAGAUAUUUCCAAGCCUUCGUUUUCAUCUAAAGAAUUAAAGACGAUGUUUCCAACGUGUCGGAAGAGUAUCUUUCACGCAACGUUCCUCUCUCUCUUCUUCUGCAUAUUGGUGCAUUAGAGCGUGCAUGCACGAUGAUAUUAAGAUGGUAGCGUAAUUAACGAAAUAUUGUUCUCUCUGGUUCGAAACAGAGAUAUCUCGAUAUUUCGAUAUUUUAAUUUUCCAGGUGACCAUUUUUGUGCUUUGAAUUCACUCUCGGUGGCGACAAAUGACAAAAUUUCAUUGUUUCUGAAAUAAAUUCAACGAUACGUGUUUUUAAGAAGAAUCAUAUGAUUGCAAAGAGAAAAAUUACAAAAAUUAAUAUUUUUAUUAGAUUCGAAUUCGGUGUACCUUUAUCUUUAAGAAACCUUUCCAUUCUCUGUGCAGUCAUUUUUUCAUUCAAAAUAUUCAAAUACUUUUUAAAAUUAAUAUUAACUUCAAGCAUAAUUACUUUUACAAUAUCCUAACUUUCAUCUUAAUUGUGUAUAACAUUUUUGAAUAAAUUUCAUAAAUUGAUAGUUCUAGUUGCAUACAAUUAUGAAUUAAUUUCAUAAAACAUGGAAAGUAUUAUUUUGUUGCACACUGUACAAUCUUUGAUUUCUUAUUUAUAGUUCAAUCACGUGUACAAUUUUUCAAAUAUUCUUCUCCAUGUGGAUAUAAAUAUCUGAUUUUCUUUUUCUCUUUCUUUUCAUUUUUUCGUUUUUUGCAGCUUUUCUAUAAAAGCAUCCAAUAUCACAAGCAGUUCUUUAUAAUUAAAGCAGUCCUUUAUAAUUUUUCAGUAAUAUCCAGGGAAAAUUCAGGGACGGUGGAAACGUUUGUUUGCUGUUUAAUCCUUUGGAAUAGGAAUAAUUCAAGCUGAAGCACUCUCGAGGAAAAAAGAGCUGUGAAUUUGGAAAAAAUGUAACGUGACACACGUUAGAGGAGUAUUAUCUUCAGGUAUAUCAUAAUAACGUGCAAUUUGUAAAAUAAAUUAACGAAUUCUCUUUUAAAUAUUUGUAAUUAUUUAUUUAUAGCGAAAGAGUGAAAUUUAAAAAUCUCUAGUAGUUCGAUUCAUUAAUUAUUAUUGAAAAUUCUUGGUCGAUUGUCGAAGAGAAAAAAUUCUAGAAUUUUGAUUUAAUCAUUUGAUUCGGCUGGCUUAACCGACUUAAAGGUAAACGAUAACGAAAAUUAGACAAGUUUGGAUGAUAAAGAUUUAUCUCCUGAUCGACUUAUCCCAAUCUAAUUACGAUAACGAAAAUUACAUAAGUUUGGACUAGGACUAUGGAUUGCUCCAGAUUCAUAUCCAAAAUUUUAACACAAACUUUCCAUAGAAAAACUUCAAAACGCAAUUUCCAAAUUUAAUUUUAAAAAAAAAUUCACUCUCACUUCCCUUACAUUCUGCUCGAAUUAAAAUCUCGAAGAUUUCUAAUCGUUUUCCAUUCCAGAUUGAACGAUCGAAUCUCUCGGCCUCUCGAAUUCUUUUAUUCAAAAAUGCUUUUCGCCAAAGUAAGAACGGAGAGGAAGGAUUACCGAAUAAGGAUAAAAAUCGAGAAGAGGAUAGAUUUCCACGUCGACGACGAGUGCAAGAGCGUCAGUGAGAGUUUGACCACUUGGGAAUCGAAUCCUCGCGCGACCUCGACUUUCCCUUACCCCCCAUUUGACACGUUAAAGAGCCGAGGGAAUGUUGGAUUUAUCGUCGUUUUUUUCUAACCCCUUGGAUAACAAAAAUCCAAGUGGGUAUAAAAUAAAAUGAAACAAUUUGACACAUCAAUCUCACGCUUAAAUUAAUGUAAUUGUAUUAAAUUUCGAAAGAGGAUGGAUAUUUUGGAAAAUUUAUGAAAUAAGGAUUUCAAGAAUGCAUACUAAUCAACAUACUAAGAAACAAUGGACAGAGAAUUUGGGAUUUUGUGGACAUGAAUGGACAAGCUGAUGAACUCUCGAGCUUGCACGAGGAUGAUCUGCGAUAAUUAUGCGAGUGUCUUGGCACACUCUUGAUCUUGAGGAUACAGAAAAUCAAUCUCAACAAUUCUAGAACAUUAUAUACAUAUGUAUAUAUAUAUAUAUUGAAAAAUUUAUUUUUAAAAUUUCUUGAGAAAUAUUUGAUAAUUGGUUAUCGAUCUUACGUGGAAGAUAAGAAAUGGUGUUUGCCGAACAAUGGACAGAAACGUGGGACACGUAUCAAGUUUGGAAACGGGUUAAUUGGUCGGAGGAACGAAUCGACCGACAUCGACCAGAUUUUAUCGGUUUAUUCCUCGAGAAUCGUGGAUCCAGAAUCCUGUGAACCGGAUAAAAAGUAUCUUCCACGAUAUCGACGCUCUCUCUCACGAUGGCAGGAGUUGGAUUUAAUUGGCUUGGCCGGCCAGAUGACCUGUAAUAAAUCGUAGAAAAUAACAGUCGAA